rnacentral:rRNA from 1 species
GACGAACGCUGGCGGCGUGCUUAACACAUGCAAGUCGAACGGAGAUAAUUAGUAGUAAUAUUAAUUAUCUUAGUGGCGGACGGGUGAGUAACACGUGGGUAACCUGCCCUAUGGGGGGGGAUAACACUCAGAAAUGGGUGCUAAUACCGCAUAACGUAACUAGAACGCAUGUUCUGGAUACCAAAGGUUUACUACCAUAGGAUGGACCCGCGGCCCAUUAGCUAGCUGGUGAGGUAACGGCCCACCAAGGCGACGAUGGGUAGCCGAUCUGAGAGGAUGAACGGCCACAUUGGAACUGAGACACGGUCCAGACUCCUACGGGAGGCAGCAGUGGGGAAUAUUGCACAAUGGGGGAAACCCUGAUGCAGCAACGCCGCGUGAGUGAAGAAGGCCUUCGGGUUGUAAAACUCUGUCUUAGCUGACGAUAAUGACGGUAAGCUAGGAGGAAGCCACGGCUAACUACGUGCCAGCCGCCGCCGUAA